GACGAACGCUGGCGGCGUGCUUAACACAUGCAAGUCGAACGGAAAGGCCCCUUUGGGGGUACUCGAGUGGCGAACGGGUGAGUAACACGUGAGUAACCUGCCCUUGACUUCGGGAUAACUUCAGGAAACUGGGGCUAAUACCGGAUAGGAAUCCUUGCUGCAUGGUGGGGGUUGGAAAGCUUCGGCGGUUUUGGAUGGACUCGCGGCUUAUCAGCUUGUUGGUGGGGUAGUGGCUUACCAAGGCUUUGACGGGUAGCCGGCCUGAGAGGGCGACCGGCCACAGUGGGACUGGGAGACGACCCGGACCCGGAGGGGGGGAGGAAGGGGGGAUUAUUGCAAAGGGGGGGGAGGCGGGAGGCAGCACCGCCGGGGGGGGGAGGAGGGCCUGGGGGUUGUAACCCGCUUACAGGAGGGGAAAAGCUUGGGGGGACGGUCCCUGAGAAAAAAACCCCGGCAAACUACGUC
rnacentral:rRNA from 1 species